rnacentral:tRNA from 1 species
GGGUCGUUAGCUCAGUUGGUAGAGCGUCUCGUUUACACCGAGAAUGUCGGCGGUUCGAGUCCGUCACGACCCA